rnacentral:tRNA from 1 species
UCUUCAUUGGUCUAGUGGUUAUGGUAAGUCGAGACCAACGGUUUGAUAUACUAGGUGAAUCUCAUUCUUGCAACAGAUUUCCGCUUGUCAACACAUCGACUCACAAGCGCGGGAGACCAGGGUUCGAUUCCCUGAUGGAGAG